CAAGUGACAACCACAUGCACACCAAGACACAGCACAUAACAUCAUAGAAAUAAAUCGAACGUUCCUGGCGAUGACCUCGCUUUUAUCAAAAGCUCAUUUAAGAUGACAUCUGACCCCGACGACUAUUUUUCCUUGCUCGAGAAGCGCCGAUAUUGGGCAGCUGCCAUGAUGGGGCGCCACCUUAGAGGGUUGAGACGAACAAAUCGACUCCAGCACUUAAUUAUUAAAGUCUGAUGUUCAUUCUAUCGGUCACAUUUGCCGAACCGCUAACUUGCAAGUUCUUAUCAGGAAUGUUGCAAACCAAAUGCAAAACCGAUAUAUACCGACUUAGAUUUGAAUUCAAAACAUGGCAGUUAAGGAGUAUGUCAAUAAUUCCAUAUGCAACAGGAACAAACGGAAUGGUAAACAACAAUUUCUGUAACGUCGUUUCAGAAAGACGAUAGGUUUCCAAUAAAGAUAGAGACAGGUUCCAUAAAAUAGCAAUGCUUGAAACAUUUAUAGGCAUUUUUUUUUCCAAGAUGUACCUAAAUCUUUUUGAUGUAAGAUAGGG